GAGUGAGCAGCUCGUCGGGCACGGCAGGGGGCAGUCCACGGACCUCAACUGCCACCCCUGCCUCUGCCUCCGCCAUUGCAACCCUGGGACGGGGCAUCAGGUCUUGCCUGCCCAUUCCUGCAGCUUUCUGUCCUGCCUGCACCUCCCCAUCUCACACCAUCAUUGGCAUCGUCACAAGUAACCUCAGAAGGUGACAAGUAGAGACGGGGUUUCACCGUGUUAGCCAGGAUGGUCUCCAUCUCCUGACCUUGUGAUCCACCCGCCUUGGCCUCCCAAAGUGCUGGGAUUACAGGCGUAAGCCACCGCGCCCAGCAAGCAUUUUAUUUUUCUUAAAGGUCUCUCAAAUUUUGUGAGCUUCUGCUUCUACAAAGGUAGAAGUUACCUUCUA